rnacentral:rRNA from 1 species
UACGAAGGGGGCUAGCGUUGUUCGGAAUUACUGGGCGUAAAGCGUGCGCAGGCGGUUCGUUGUGUCGGUGGUGAAAUCCCCGGGCUUAACCUGGGAAUGGCCAUGGAAACUGGCGAACUGGAGUGCGGCAGAGGGGGGUGGAAUUCCGCGUGUAGCAGUGAAAUGCGUAGAGAUGCGGAGGAACACCGAUGGCGAAGGCAGCCCCCUGGGCUAGCACUGACGCUCAGGCACGAAAGCGUGGGGAGCAAACAGG